AGCGGCGAACGGGUGAGUAACACGUGGGUGACCUGCCCUCCACUUCGGGAUAAGCCCGGGAAACUGGGUCUAAUACCGGAUAGGACAUCUUGGUGCAUGCUGGGGUGUGGAAAGUUUUUUCGGUGGGGGAUGGGCCCGCGGUCUAUCAGCUUGUUGGUGGGGUGAUGGCCUACCAAGGCGACGACGGAUAGCCGGCCUGAGAGGGUGAUCGGCCACACUGGGACUGAGACACGGCCCAGACUCCUACGGGAGGCAGCAGUGGGGAAUCUUGCGCAAUGGGCGGAAGCCUGACGCAGCAACGCCGCGUGAGGGAUGACGGCCUUCGGGUUGUAAACCUCUUUCGCGAUCGACGAAGGUUCAUCUUUUGGGUGGGCUGACGGUAGGUCGAGAAGAAGCACCGGCCAACUACGUGCCAGCAGCCGCGGUAAUACGUAGGGUGCGAGCGUUGUCCGGAAUUAUUGGGCGUAAAGAGCUCGUAGGCGGUGUGUCACGUCGGCCGUGAAAACCUGGGGCUCAACUCUGGGCGUGCGGUCGAUACGGGCAUCACUAGAGUUCGGCAGGGGAGACUGGAAUUCCUGGUGUAGCGGUGAAAUGCGCAGAUAUCAGGAGGAACACCGGUGGCGAAGGCGGGUCUCUGGGCC
rnacentral:rRNA from 1 species